rnacentral:rRNA from 1 species
UACGUAGGGGGCAAGCGUUGUCCGGAUUUAUUGGGCGUAAAGAGCGUGUAGGCGGCCAGGUAGGUCCGUUGUGAAAACUCGAGGCUCAACCUCGAGACGCCGGUGGAAACCGUAAGGCUAGAGUCCGGAAGAGGGAAGCGGAAUUUCCGGUGUAGCGGUGAAAUGCGUAGAUAUCGGAAGGAACACCAGUGGCGAAAGCGGCUUCCUGGUCCAGCACCGACGUCAGGCACGAAAGCGUGGGGAGCA